UACUUUCUGGGUGGAGGAGAACCCCUUAAACUGGAUAUUUACAAGAAACCGAAAAGUUAAAACUUUCAACAACGGAUCUCUUGGCUCUCGCACCGAUGAAGAGCGCAGCGAAAUGCGAUAACUAAUGUGAAUUGCAGGCAUCGUGAAUCAUCGAGUUCUUGAACGCACAUUGCGCCCUGUGGUAUUCCGCAGGGCAUGCUUGUUUGAGCGUCAGUUCAAUCUUUGAGCUGGGGUUACUGUGGACGUGUCUGCGGUUUCCUUGAAAACGAGUGAGUUGUGUUAACUACGUUUCACACGACCAUCAUUUUGACCUCAAAUCAAGUAGGAGUACCCGCUGAACUUAAGCAUAUCAAUAAGCGGAGGA
rnacentral:rRNA from 1 species